ACGUCAUCCCCACCUUCCUCCGGUUUGAAACCGGCAGUCGCGUUAGACGUGGUAACUAACGCCGAGGGUUGCGCUCGUUGCGGGACUUAACCCAACACCUCACGGCACGAGCUGACGACAGCCAUGCAGCACCUGUGACUGCUCCCGACUUUACGGGUCGUCCCCCUUUCGGGUUCCUACUUCAGCCAUGUCAAGCCUAGGUGAGGUUCUUCGCGUUGCAUCGAAUUAAUCCACAUAAUCCACCGCUUGUGCGGGUCCCCGUCAAUUCCUUUGAGUUUUAACCUUGCGGCCGUACUCCCCAGGCGGUCGACUUCACGCGUUAGCUUCGUUACUGAGAGUGUCAAACCCCCAACAACCAGUCGACAUCGUUUAGGGCGUGGACUACCAGGGUAUCUAAUCC
rnacentral:misc_RNA from 1 species